GCCGGAGGAAGAAAAAAAAGCUGGAAUCCGUUUGCCCUGAUAUUUCACCAGCACCAGCCAGGAGCGAGGGGGAGAGGAGAGAAAGGGGAGAGUGAGAGAGAGAGAAGGGGAAAGAGACUGGGGCAGAGGGAGGAAAAAAAAACAGGGGAUAGAUGGGAAAACGGCAGACCAGGGCUGCAUUUAUUGGGGGUGUGAGCGCCACGCUGUAGGCUGUGGGACAGUCGGGACAGAGCAAGGUGUUGCUGCUAGGUGUGGCUGGGUUUCCAAAGAGGGGAAGAGCAUGCAUAGAUAGGAAGGAAGGAGGGGGAGAGAGAGAAAAAAAGUGGGAGAGAUGGAAGGAUUGGUCAUGCGCAAGGCACCUCGAGACAAGUGGUGACGUGUGCAGGCAAGGCCAUGUGACGUUGGGGACACGCUAAUCUAACGGACAAGUGCUGUCUCUCCUGUUUAAAACUUCUCUGCUCGGAAGAGCCCGGCACAAGACAAUGACCUGAGGAGGGGAGAACGCRGCUAAAAUAUGGCACACCUACAGAGGGCGGGAUGGAGCCUCCCUGUCAGUUCUGUUGAGACCGCAGACCGUUGGAGGGAGCUUAGAAAUCUCUUACAUCUGGAACAGCCAUAAUUCGUGAGAUUUGGCCUGACAGCCAUGACAGGCGUUGGGGCGGCAAGCAACAACUGUCUCCUAUGUUAGUAGCUUUGUGUGCGUUAGCGCUGUUUAAAAGAGACAAAAUGCAAGAGUGAAAUUGUGUACAAUCAUUAAACUCUGUGUGGAUAAUGUAGAAACUGAAUUAAAACAGGAAUUUUUGACAGUUUAUACACACUCAACUGAAAAUGCAACUUUAUAAUGGGAGAAGUACAAUAUGUAA